GGGGGCGAAACGGUUUCGACGUGGGUAGUGACGCGAGAGAUGGCACGACCGCCGGCCCGUAACGGCGUAAAUACUACGGAAACAAGAGCUGCGAACGAUAACGCACUCCCCUUCGCUGUCGCGGCCUGAAAAACCGCCAGUGACGCGCUUCCGGCAGCCUGCCUGUGCUGACGUAAGGGUGUAAACGAACAGGCUGGCCCCUCGCUGCGCCCGCAGGGCGAGGGGUGAGAAAAAUCUGUGGGCUGGUUGCCCCGAGAGCCUGUCGAUGCGCUCGAAGGGUGACGAGAUUUGAGCAUCGACUAUGUCGUGUAGAAGUCCUCGCUGAGCGCUUGCGGACCCGGGUUCGACUCCCGGCGCCUCCACCA
rnacentral:tmRNA from 1 species